AUGUCUUCUUCAAGCUCCCGCGCCACCUCGUGGAUGCAGAGCCCGGCGCGUGAGAUGCCUAUCUUCGUCAGUCCGCGGUGCCGGGCGGGCGUUGAUCGCAGGGUUUCUCACACAUCGAGGAACCAGAAUCGUCUGUUCUACGUGUGCAGCGAGAAUGGGGUGAAAUGCUUCUUUGUUUGGGUCGAUGCUCUGGCCAAGACUCCGAUGAAUGAACUGCAAGAAGAGCAUGAAGAAUGGUUGCGCAUGCUGCCACGAACGGCAGUGGCCGCAGCACGAGCUCCGGAAGAAGAGAUGGAGGGCGAAGCACGCAAUGACAGAGAGCUAGCUGUUGAGCUUAGUGAAGGAAAUAUGCCCUAG
rnacentral:rRNA from 1 species